rnacentral:rRNA from 1 species
UAGGGAAUCUUCGGCAAUGGACGGAAGUCUGACCGAGCAACGCCGCGUGAGUGAAGAAGGUUUUCGGAUCGUAAAGCUCUGUUGUAAGAGAAGAACGAGUGUGAGAGUGGAAAGUUCACACUGUGACGGUAUCUUACCAGAAAGGGACGGCUAACUACGUGCCAGCAGCCGCGGUAAUACGUAGGUCCCGAGCGUUGUCCGGAUUUAUUGGGCGUAAAGCGAGCGCAGGCGGUUAGAUAAGUCUGAAGUUAAAGGCUGUGGCUUAACCAUAGUACGCUUUGGAAACUGUUUAACUUGAGUGCAAGAGGGGAGAGUGGAAUUCCAUGUGUAGCGGUGAAAUGCGUAGAUAUAUGGAGGAACACCGGUGGCGAAAGCGGCUCUCUGGCUUGUAACUGACGCUGAGGCUCGAAAGCGUGGGGAGCAAACAGGAUUAGAUACCCUGGUA